CUCCUUUUGAGCAUGACGUCAUUCGUCCUGUCGGGCGUCCUCACAAAUUACCUGCAUUCAGAGAUUCAUACCGGCACAGGUCGGUAUGCGAAGUCCCUUUUGGGGCCUUAGCUCAGCUGGGAGAGCACCUGCUUUGCAAGCAGGGGGUCGUCGGUUCGAUCCCGACAGGCUCCACCAUAUUGAGUGAAAAGACUUCGGGUCUGUAGCUCAGGUGGUUAGAGCGCACCCCUGAUAAGGGUGAGGUCGGUAGUUCGAGUCUACCCAGACCCACCACUCUGAAUGUAGUGCACACUUAAGAAUUUAUAUGGAUCAGCGUUGAGGCUGAGACAUGUUCUUUUAUAACUUGUGACGUAGCGAGCGUUUGAGAUAUCUAUCUAAACGUGUCGUUGAGGCUAAGGCGGGGACUUCGAGUCCCUAAAUAAUUGAGUCGUAUGUUCGCGUUGGUGGCUUUGUACCCCACACAACACGUACAUGUAGCUCCGAGGCAACUUGGGGUUAUAUGGUCAAGCGAAUAAGCGCACACGGUGA
rnacentral:tRNA from 1 species